rnacentral:rRNA from 1 species
UUACGGCUCAGUACACGUAGUCGGCUCAGUCACGAGUGGAUAAUCUGCCCUAAGGUCAGGUAUAACUCCGGGAAACUUGUGAUAAUCCGGAAGAAGUGAUAGAAUAAAGAAUGUUCUGGGAUUAAUAGCUCCAUCUCCUCCAGGAGGGUAUUGGGUCUGACCAGGUGUUGGGGGGGGAAAUGGCCCACCAAACCUGUAACCAGUCCGGUCCUUGAGAGAGGUGGCCGGGAGAUGGACACUGAGAGAAGGGUCCAGGUCUUACGGGGCGCAGCAGGCGCGAAACUUUCGCAAUGCGAAAAAGCGAUAAGGGGAAAUCCGAGCCAGCACGCAGAGGGGCUCUCCGUCGGCUAAAAAUAGGCAGGCGAAAAGGAGCAUCUCU